UUUAUUUGAAUGUCCUUAGGCAGGGAGCUGGCUGCUAGACUGUCCCCCUCCCUCAUAGGUAAGAACCCCUUGUGCUAGUUCGAGGUAGAGAUGAAAUACUUUGUGGAACAACUGUGCUACAGAAGAAUCCUUAAUUAAUCCUAAUGUUUUUCAGCCUCAUACUUAAGCCUUCAUCUUUGUAACCCUUUAGCAAAGGAUGUAGAUCACUGAUUCAGUGUUUCCACUGUGCCCCACUCUCUCCCCCACUGCCAUUCACAUCCUGAUGAGAAAUUCAGAUUUAAAUGCCACACAGCUGUGUUUCCUUCCUUGUGCACUUCCAUUCCCCUUUGAACCUUAUACCACACUUACAGUGGGUAUUUAUGAGAGCAUUUGCAUAUUGUUGUGCCUCCUGGGAUCUUGACUUGGAAUGAUUUUAAACAAGAAUGAUUUUAAAAUAUUCUUUACACCUUAGAAGUUGUAAAGUUCCCACAUGAAAAUAAAAGGAAGGAAAGGUAUUUAUGCCACCUUCUUGGACACUUUGUGCCCUUUCUUGAUUAGGAAGCUCGGGAUCCAUGGUGGUGAGUCCCAUUUUCUUAUCCGUUGCCCAGUGGUCUUAUCUGGAGAAGAGAAUAAGGAGUUAUGUGCUUUGAGGCUUUUUGUUGUUGUCCUGUGAGGCCUUUUUUGUUUUUACUUUGCUCCUUUAAUGAGACUUGAGCAAGGGUCUUCCCUCAGGGUAUGGAUUAUGGAUUGUACUCAGAGAUGAGGGGUGAGCUACUUGGGUGCGUAGGAUGGGGAUCCUACAAGGGAGUAUUUGAAUUGAACUUUUCUCCACCUUUUUAGGAUAUUAUCUCAGAUUUAAUUAUCUACUCCUAUGGGUAACUUUCAGUCUAUGGGCAACUUUCAGUCUAUGGGCAUCCGCUCUCCAUUUUCUCACUAUAUGCAUCACUGUUAUGGCACUAAUUCAAUUUAAUAUAUGCAAAAAAUGGCAACAUGUUAUUAAAGAUCAUUUAGAAAAAAAGGACCUCCUGGAAACUUGAUGUAUCCUCAGACUGGCUCCUCUAAUAAAACUUCCCUCUUCUCCCCCUUCAUAUUUUCACAACCUUUGACCUUCCUUUCACCUCCCUUGAAUUCUUGAUUAACUUCCUUCAACACCCCUAUGUCUUCCUUCACCUCCCCCUCAUUCACUCUGCCAGACUUUUCCUUUUCUCUAGGCCGAUCAGCUCCUAGAGGUAUUCAAGCUUUAUGCCCCCUCUAUAUGUCAGGAGUUUUUGAGAUGCCCAGGGACCUAAAAGUAUUCACCUGAGGCAUAAAAAGCUAAUUAGAAACAUGCUGAAUCUUUUAUCCACUUAGAUGGUCUUGGUAGAUAGCCAGACUGUUGCUUGCUUUCCCCUUAGUCCUUCACCCAAAAUUGAGUCCACAGCCUUCAUAAGACUCAGAUUAAGGCAAAAGAAAUCUAAAAUAUCCUCCAGUUUGGUAGGGCACUGAGCUUUCGUAUUGGCUAGUUCAUCUAAUCUUAUUCCAUCUGCUUAAAAAUAUGAUCAUGUCACAAAUGUACGUGGAUCAAAGAAGGGAGCCAGAGACUUUAUAUAAGUCAAUGAGGUUAGUAUUUAUGUGUUUAUGCAUAUUCAUGACUAAAAUUAAAAACUUGAAACUAUGUUCAAAAAAGUGAAAUACUCUCUAUUUGUUUAUAUCUGAAUGUUUAUAAAUGUGCAUGUGUAUAUGAACAAAUGUAUGUUAUAUGACUUUCUUAUCCUCAGAUGGUAUUAGCAAAUUACUGUAUAUAAAAUUUUUCUUAAAGGGGGACUUAGUUAUAAACACUUAUAUAAAUGAGAUCUUCCUGUAAUCCCCAGAUAGUAAGAAUAUUGAAAUUCUAAGAAUUUCAAAAGUAAUUUCAUAGAGGCCAACCCAAAUAUAUCAGCUAUAUAUUUUUGCUUCUUAUUUUUAAGGUACAUAUAUGAGAUAUAUUUUCUAAGUAUGUUAAUGAACAUGUUCAUUUUUGGUAAAUUCAGAGGUUGCACUAUAUGUAAAUAGUGGCUAUAAAACGUUGAGAUGUAUAUUUGCGAACUUUGCUUGUCUGCUGCAAAAUAUUGUGUAUGACAGUUCAUAAUUAUCCACCUGAUUAUUUUCUCUGUGAAAUAGAAGUUAUUGCAGUUAAAGAUUAUAAUCAAUAUAUGUAAAUGAGAAUCUACUGGGAGAAAUAAUGGCAUCGUUAGCAUGCAAGGUAUAGAGAAUGUGUUUGUUAAGGAAAAAGGUAGUUUUGUCCUAAAGUUAAAUGACUGCUUGUUCCAAGAUAUAUAGAAAGUUGUGGGAGCUUUGCAGAAGGUUUAUCUUAGCUGGCUAAAGUUUUAUUGGCUUAUUUAUUUAAAAAAAAAAAAAAACUUCGCUGUGGUCCUUUGUUACAAUGAUAGUUUCUUGAAUUAUUGGUGUACUAUUAAGAAGAGUUUCAAAAAGUUUUUUCUUUACCUUUUGAGUAACCUGCUUAGAAAGCAACAAUUCUGUCUUAUUGGAAAUAUGUGUUGGUCGUUAUAUUGACUUUAUUAUGGCUUUGAUUGUUAAAGAGAGCCAAGCCUUUUUACCUUCUGAAAGAACUAAGGUUUGUUACAUGAUAUACCUUCUAUGUUUACUUUUAAAAUCUUUAUAAACUUUUUGUUGCUGGGUGACCAUGUAUUUUCUUACUAGUCUAUGAUCCUCUCUAAUCAAGUGUUCAAAUCUCCUUGCAACUUCUGAGAUUUUUGCCUUCCCCAAAUAAAUCUUAAAUAUAUAUUGUGCCUAAAACUGUAUUUGAGAUUUCCCAGAGGCUCCUGGAGAAUCACAAAAGAAUUGUUCUUUCAUUCUGUAGAAGAGGUACUACAAAUAACUAAGGUAUUUAACAUGCUGUGAGCUGAAUUGGAAGUUGUUGCCAAAUCAAAAGAGAUACUUAAUUAUUCCCUGUGUUAAACUGUUGGAUGUACCACACGUUAAUAUUUCAGAAAGUAGAUGAUCUCUAUAUAGAGAUGAUAAAUGCUGUGAUGUCUAUAUGUUUGUAUUUAUCAGAAUCUUAGUGUUGCUUUGGUUAAUAUUAGAUAACAAAAUUCAUAUUUCAGUUAUUAUUUUUACUAACUCAGUUUUACUCCCUUAAUUUGAAUCUAGAAUAUUUAAAUCAGUGGUUUUCUAUUGGGGAUUUGCAUACUUAUAUAUGGAGUUUUAUUAACAUACAGGGUUUAGGUUCUAUUCCAGACUUAAUCUGUAUUCUUGACAAAUCAAUAUAUGUUUAUAUAGUCUAGCCACAUGAUAUGUUCAUGGUAUAUUAAAUCUCAGAAUGAAGACAUAUAUUCAUCUAUAUUCAUAAAUUAGAUGUAUAUCCACUUUUCUUUGAAAAUGGG
rnacentral:lncRNA from 9 species